CAGGCGCUGACCGCUUUUCCUGGAGUGAUGAUGGCGCUGCUUUACUUUGCACCGCGCGGUCAGGAUAAAACCGUUGAGGGAUCUCGGCUGCUGCCAAGACCAACGUGCUCAUCUUUAUCCUGCAAACUCAUAAGAUAAGAUAGCCCUGCCGGCAUACGCUCGGCAUGCCGGUUUAGCAUUAGUUGUACUCUGUGAUACCGGCAUACGUAACUACGCCGGCCUUACCUCCGUUAUCUCGGCUAGAGUUUUGUCGUCAUGACCCUAUCCGAGGUCAUCCACGGCAACCGACAAGCCAAUUAGAAGAGGAGAUCACGGACGGGACGUUCGUCAGACUGCUAAAAAGAAUAUGUGCACUUUUGGUUUAGUAGCAGAAGCAUCCGGCACGGACACAGUACCCGAGCAGCUCGCAGUGGUGGUUGCAGAUGCAGAGGGCAAGGGUACGCAUGAUCGCCCAUCAAAGCCGAGGAGCACCGGCGUCCGGCGACGCCGAGGCUAGACGACAGAGACGGGAUGGAUAUGAGGAUAUGGCUGCGACGAUCGAUGGGACGGGGGAGCAGGCAGCGGG
rnacentral:lncRNA from 1 species